rnacentral:rRNA from 1 species
AGUGAACGCUGGCGGUAGGCCUAACACAUGCAAGUCGAACGGCAGCACAGUAAGGGCUUGCUCUUACGGGUGGCGAGUGGCGGACGGGUGAGGAAUACAUCGGAAUCUACUUUUUCGUGGGGGAUAACGUAGGGAAACUUACGCUAAUACCGCAUACGACCUACGGCUGAAAGCAGGGGAUCUUCGGACCUUGCGCGACUGAAUGAGCCGAUGUCGGAUUAGCUAGUUGGCGGGGUAAAGGCCCACCAAGGCGACGAUCCGUAGCUGGUCUGAGAGGAUGAUCAGCCACACUGGAACUGAGACACGGUCCAGACUCCUACGGGAGGCAGCAGUGGGGAAUAUUGGACAAUGGGCGCAAGCCUGAUCCAGCCAUACCGCGUGGGUGAAGAAGGCCUUCGGGUUGUAAAGCCCUUUUGUUGGGAAAGAAAAGCAGCAGGUUAAUACCCCGCUGUUCUGACGGUACCCAAAGAAUAAGCACCGGCUAACUUCGUG